CUUACAGCGCCGAUGGUACUGCAGGGGGGACCCUGUGGGAGAGUAGGACGCCGCCGAAC
rnacentral:rRNA from 1 species